CAAUGUGUCUGCAGCGCAACA
rnacentral:miRNA from 1 species